rnacentral:rRNA from 1 species
GGGCCCGCACAAGCGGUGGAGCAUGUGGUUUAAUUCGAUGAUACGCGAGGAACCUUACCAGGGCUUAAAUGUAGUGGGACAGGUCUAGAGAUAGACCCUUCUUCGGACUCAUUACAAGGUGCUGCAUGGUUGUCGUCAGCUCGUGCCGUGAGGUGUCAGGUUAAGUCCUAUAACGAGCGCAACCCCUAUCUUUAGUUGCCAGCGGAUAAUGCCGGGGACUCUAAAGAAACUGCCAGCGCAAGCUGAGAGGAAGGCGGGGACGACGUCAAGUCAUCACGGCCCUUACGUCCUGGGCCACACACGUGCUACAAUGGUUGGUACAGAGGGCAGCUACCUAGUGAUAGGAUGCA